rnacentral:piRNA from 1 species
UGUUUUGACCAUUUCUUGAACCAUGUGU